rnacentral:rRNA from 1 species
UGGGGAAUAUUGCACAAUGGGGGAAACCCUGAUGCAGCGACGCCGCGUGAGCGAUGAAGGCUUUCGAGUCGUAAAGCUCUGUCCUAUGGGAAGAUAAUGACGGUACCAUAGAAGAAAGCCCCGGCUAAUUACGUGCCAGCAGCCGCGGUAAUACGUAAGGGGCGAGCGUUGUCCGGAAUUAUUGGGCGUAAAGAGUGCGUAGGCGGCAAAUUAAGUCAGAUGUGAAAACUAAGGGCUCAACCCAUAGAUUGCAUCUGAAACUGAUAUGCUUGAGUCAAGGAGAGGAAAGUGGAAUUCCUAGUGUAGCGGUGGAAUGCGUAGAUAUUAGGAGGAAUACCGGUGGCGAAGGCGGCCUUCUGGGCCACGACUGACGCUGAGGCGCGAAAGCUAGGGGAGCGAACAGG